rnacentral:rRNA from 1 species
AACGAACGCUGGCGGCAUGCCUAACACAUGCAAGUCGAACGAGACCUUCGGGUCUAGUGGCGCACGGGUGCGUAACGCGUGGGAACCUGCCCUUAGGUUCGGAAUAACUCCCCGAAAGGGGUGCUAAUACCGGAUAAUGUCUUCGGACCAAAGAUUUAUCGCCUUUGGAUGGGCCCGCGUUGGAUUAGCUAGUUGGUAGGGUAAAAGCCUACCAAGGCGACGAUCCAUAGCUGGUCUGAGAGGAUGAUCAGCCACACUGGGACUGAGACACGGCCCAGACUCCUACGGGAGGCAGCAGUGGGGGAUAUUGGACAAUGGGCGGAAGGCUGAUCCAGCAAUGCCGCGUGAGUGAUGAAGGCCUUAGGGUUGUAAAGCUCUUUUACCCGGGAUGAUAAUGACAGUACCGGGAGAAUAAGCUCCGGCUAACUCCGUG